AUACGAAGGGUGCAAGCGUUACUCGGAAUUACUGGGCGUAAAGCGUGCGUAGGUGGUUCGUUAAGUCUGAUGUGAAAGCCCUGGGCUCAACCUGGGAAUUGCAUUGGAUACUGGCGGGCUAGAGUACGGUAGAGGGUGGCGGAAUUCCUGGUGUAGCAGUGAAAUGCGUAGAGAUCAGGAGGAACACCCGUGGCGAAGGCGGCCACCUGGACCAGUACUGACACUGAGGCACGAAGGCGUGGGGAGCAAACAGGAUUAGAUACCCUGGUAGUCCACGCCCUAAACGAUGCGAACUGGAUGUUGGGUUCAACUAGGAACUCAGUAUCGAAGCUAACGCGUUAAGUUCGCCGCCUGGGGAGUACGGUCGCAAGGCUGAA
rnacentral:rRNA from 1 species